GUAGGGAAUAUUGGGCAAUGGUCGGAAGACUGACCCAGCCAUGCCGCGUGCAGGAAGACGGCCCUCUGGGUUGUAAACUGCUUUUAUCUGGGAAGAAAAAGGCCAUGCGUGGCAAAUUGCCGGUACCAGAUGAAUAAGCACCGGCUAACUCCGUGCCAGCAGCCGCGGUAAUACGGAGGGUGCGAGCGUUGUCCGGAUUUAUUGGGUUUAAAGGGUGCGUAGGCGGCUGAUUAAGUCAGCGGUGAAAGACUUCGGCUUAACCGGAGCAGUGCCGUUGAUUCUGGUUGGCUUGAGUGUCGGAGGGGUACAUGGAAUUGAUGGUGUAGCGGUGAAAUGCAUAGAUACCAUCAGGAACACCGAUAGCGAAGGCAUUGUACUGGCCGACAACUGACGCUGAUGCACGAAAGUGUGGGGAUCGAACAGGAUUAGAAACCCUAGUAGUCC
rnacentral:rRNA from 1 species